rnacentral:rRNA from 1 species
CGGGGAUAGCCUUUCGAAAGAAAGAUUAAUACCCGAUGUCAUAGUCCAACCGCAUGAUGGGAUUAUUAAAGAAUUUCGGUAUGGGAUGGGGAUGCGUUCCAUUAGUUAGUUGGCGGGGUAACGGCCCACCAAGACAACGAUGGAUAGGGGUUCUGAGAGGAAGGUCCCCCACAUUGGAACUGAGACACGGUCCAAACUCCUACGGGAGGCAGCAGUGAGGAAUAUUGGUCAAUGGACGAGAGUCUGAACCAGCCAAGUAGCGUGAAGGAUGACUGCCCUACGGGUUGUAAACUUCUUUUAUAUGGGAAUAAAAUGUUCCACGUGUGGGAUUUUGUAUGUACCAUAUGAAUAAGGAUCGGCUAACUCCGUGCCAGCAGCCGCGGUAAUACGGAGGAUCCGAGCGUUAUCCGGAUUUAUUGGGUUUAAAGGGAGCGUAGGUGGAUUGUUAAGUCAGUUGUGAAAGUUUGCGGCUCAACCGUAAAAUUGCAGUUGAAACUGGCAGUCUUGAGUACAGUAGAGGUGGGCGGAAUUCGUGGUGUAGCGGUGAAAUGCUUAGAUAUCACGAAGAACUCCGAUUGCGAAGGCAGCUCACUGGACUGCAACUGACACUGAGGCUCGAAAGUGUGGGUAUCAAACAGGAUUAGAUACCCUGGUAGUCCACACAGUAAAC